GAUGAACGCUAGCGGGAGGCCUAACACAUGCAAGCCGAGCGGUAGAGUUCCUUCGGGAACUUGAGAGCGGCGUACGGGUGCGUAACACGUGUGCAACCUACCUUUAUCUGGGGGAUAGCCUUUCGAAAGGAAGAUUAAUACCCCAUAAUAUAUUGAAUGGCAUCAUUUAAUAUUGAAAACUCUGGUGGAUAGAGAUGGGCACGCGCAAGAUUAGAUAGUUGGAGAGGUAACGGCUCACCAAGUCUGUGAUCUUUAGGGGUCCUGAGAGGGAGAUCCCCCACACUGGUACUGAGACACGGACCAGACUCCCACGGGAGGCAGCAGUGAGGAAUAUUGGACAAUGGGUGAGAGCCUGAUCCAGUCAUCCCGCGUGAAGGAUGACGGUCCUAUGGAUUGUAAACUUCUUUUGUACAGGAAUAAACCUAUUUACGUGUAAAUAGCUGAAGGUACUGUACGAAUAAGCACCGGCUAACUCCGUGCCAGCAGCCGCGGUAA
rnacentral:rRNA from 1 species